AAACUUGAACAUUGCUCACUAGUCUGGCUAGCUGGCAUUUGCCAUGCACUGGGCACAGCUAGCAGCUGCCUCAGGGAAGCAGAGCACCUGAAGACACCAAGUGGAAGAGAAGGACCCAGGGGCAUCCCAGUCCAGUUCUAUUUUUAAUUUAGUUCAAGAAAGCACAGUUCAUAGCACAAUGCCUGUCCUAGAAAAUACAUGUUAUUCUUCAUC
rnacentral:lncRNA from 1 species